rnacentral:tRNA from 23 species
GGUGGAGUGGCCGAGUGGUGAGGCAGCGGCCUGCAAAGCCGUCAACACGGGUUCGAUUCCCGUCUCCACCUCCA